AGCAUAAUUUAUAACAAAUUCAUUUAUUAGUAAUAAAAUCCUUUACUGUCCACUUACCUCGGCGAGAUCCAUGAAAACAAUAUAUGAAAACAAUAACCUUAUAAUAUCAUGAAAUCAUACACACUUUAUAAUAUAACAUAUAUCACACCUUUACAUUUCAAUCAUCAGGAAACAGAUUUCUUCUAUUACCAGCCUACUAGUAUCCCUGGGGAUCCAUAGGGGGUCCCCUCUACACGUGAACCCUUAACAUUUAUAACUUGAUUCCAAGGCCGUCUCCAUACCUCGUCCGGUAUGAGGGUGAAACGGGCCGUCCCCAUACCCCGUCCGGUAUGGGUGCCAAAACACAUAAGGUCUCCAUACCCCGUCCGGUAUGAGAGACCACGUUCCCAGUAGGGUUCCCUACGGACCCGGUCCAUCCACCAUCUCCCAGGAUAUCUAGUCAGGCUGUCCACAUUAUCCGCUUAUCAAUUCACAUAACCUUUUUGCCCUUUUUCUUGGUUUCAAUCAUUCAAACACACAAAACAUGUAAACCAGUAAUGGACACCAAACAAGACAACACAGUAUCGGGUUCAUCAUAAUACAAACCAUAAUAAAAGAAACCAUGAUUCAUGCAUACGAGACCAUAACGUAAUUACAUCAAACAUCAUGCUGCAUUUAAUACUGGAAAUUAAAUCAAACAAUAACAGACCAACAUUAUAUCAGACUCGGGCUCCAUUGGCAACCUUAAUCAAUUAUACAUUUAUAAAGUCACACAGUACAGUUUAAUUAUUUAUUUAGCUUUAAUACCGUGAUAGGAAAUAGGGUGAGGGGUCCUUACUUGUUUCAGGGU
rnacentral:lncRNA from 1 species